UUUAAGGACUGGGGAUUGAACCUAGGGCUUUUCCCUGAGCUGCAUCCCCAGCACUUUUUAUUGUUCAUUUUGAGGCAAGAUGUCACUAAGUUGGUAAGUCACCCAGGCUGGGCUCAAACUUGUGAUCCUCCAGCAUCAGCUUUGCAGCGUUCUGUUGUUAGAGAUGUCUGCCGCCACACAUGGCUUAUGUGUGUCCUUUUAAUAUGGAAGAGACUUGGGCAUGGUUGCAUGCUGGUCAGCUGAAGGGGAGAGCAGGAGUGGGAUCCGUGAGGAGCACGUUAACACACCAGUCCCUUCUGGUGCGUGGGUGUGGCACUCGUCAUGCUGCCUGCAUCUUCAUGUACAGUGAUUCCUUAGAGCAUGUGCUUGAGAAGAUGAACCCACUGUCGAUCUGACCCAUCUUUUGCACUUCUCUUUUUUUUUCUCCGUUCAUGCUCUGAUUCCUUACUGCAUGCCCAGGAGUUUUCCCCUGAUCUUUCACUACUUGCUUAGCCCCUAAAAUCUUCAGGUUAGGUGGUUUUAUCUCUUAUUUCUAACCCCACUGUACUCUCACUACCCAUGAAUGGGUAUUGAAUAUUCCUAUUUUUGAGAAAAUUUUGCUGUCAUAAAAUGCCCAUAACAUCAGAUGUGCUUUGAUAUCCUUGUUCUCUAGCUGUAAGCUAGGGGCUUUGCCCAUUACUGAGGUCUACCCCUCACAGGUCAGAAAAAAUAAAGCACAACAAAGCAAAAUAAAACACUGCAGGACCUCCCACUUACUGCUUUUCUUUGGCCUAAGCUGUACAAGUCACAGCAAAACUUGAUUGCUUCACAAAUAAUGGGGCAGUAGCCAACGCACACAUCCUUUGCGGAUCCGAGCAGUGAGGGUUCACUAGAUCAUCCAUCCGUGUCUUCCCUGCAUAUUUGUUGGGCAUUUUCAGCACCAUGGGAAGUAGUGAAGGUGACAGCAUGCAAAAUCAGAGUCCCAGCCCUCAGCUCCCAGUCCAAAGGUUAGUCACUGUCACAGUGUAAAAAGGCGGGCAGUUAGUCUAGUAAGCAGGGACAGGUAAAGUGCCCAGGUUUUUUUUUUUUUUUUUUUUUUUUUUUCUGGUCGAAUUUAUUAACAAUCUAAUGGGUCAGUUGAACACAUGAAAUGCACUCUUCUCAUCGUAGUGUAAUUGUUUCCCCUGCCAGAUGACACAGCUCCAAAGGUUAACUUUAUUUUAUGAGGCUCGGUAGUUUUCAGGGCUAUGAUUUACCUUAGAGGAAAUUGUGUCCUUAUGUAGCAGCUUUAUGUGCUGACUCUCUGGGACAUUGAAGAAAGGGCAUUCUCUUUGAUUCCCUUUAUAUUUUUAGCCAGCGUUCCCCUUCUACCCUGUUCUGACCCUGUUUUUGUUCUUGUUAUUUUGCCUUCAGGACAAAAUACAGGACGAUUUUGUUGGCUGUUCUUGACUGAAGCAUGUUUGUUUGAUUUCUGAGGAAGUGACCCUCUGUCUUUGCAUGGUCUGCAGUGUCUUCAUUCCUCUAGUGCGCUGCUGUCCCUUGGUACCAGUAAUGUCACCCUAUAGGACAAGGGAGAGCCAGGGAAAAGCCGGAGAUGCCUUGUGUUAGUUUCCCUGCACCAAGCCUUUACCACUUUAGGUUGAAGGGUGUCUAAUUAGUUGAGGAAGAAUCAGAAACUUUGAGCAUAAAGUUCAAACCUGAAAUUGGAGUGGUAAAGACUACAUUAAAAUGCACUACAAAGCACUUUAAUCUGAACGUUGACGUCCCGUUCAGUAAGCCAUUGAGAAAAGGAGAGAGCAGAAAUUCUCACUUCUGCCAAGUGCUCUCUUUUUCCCUUUGACAUGGUUCUUUGGUUUUGUUCCCUGCCAGAAAAUGCAUGGGUGGAGGCUUCUGCUCUUUGUUCAUGGUCCCCACAGGCCCUAUCAUGCCAAGUGAGUCUGUUUCUCUGUUUCCCUCCAGGCCCCCUUGCUGGGAGCUCUGUUCCUAGGAGCUCACAGCCACUUGGCCACCUGGGCUUGAGUCUUUCCCUCUCUGCCGGAAUGGUGUUCAGCCCAGUGUCUUUCCCCUCUUCUUCUUUGCCUGGAACAGGAAGUGGAGGGUUCAGUGAACAUGAGAGAGACAAGCUUUUAUUUUCUAAUCUCCACUUCUAUUCCCUGGGGCAGGCAGUGAACUUACACGUGUCUACAGGCUCCGAUGGGGGACCCGCAGGUGGAAAACGAGGAAGAUAGUUGGCUGUCUUCAGAUGGUAGCAUGCCAGUACAGUAGAAGUGUUUGUCAAGAGGAAGGUCUCCCCUGAAUAACCAGAAUAAUCAUGUUAAAAAUAUUUCUAACUUAAUAAAAAAAACCCUAUUAGCUAAUGACAAAGACUCUUGGCAAGACUGAGUGGGAGGCUUGCAGGCUGGUGAGCGGGUUUGAGGAAGUGGUCCCUGGUCUGGACUGCUCCUCUUCGUCUCUCUUACCACUUGCUCUUUGCCACUCCCUUCCCGAAUCACAUAACUUCUCUUUCUCUAGCCCUCCCUGCCACUGUUCUUCAUUUCCGUCUGCUGCAUAUCCUCAGCAGGAAAGAUACUUCAGAGGGUGGAGUGGCCACUGGAAGUUACCACUGCCUAAGGAUAGCCCCAGAAUGUGUCUCUUGGAGAUUCAAGACUGAGGAACAGAAAGCCUGUAGACUCGGAAGCCAGACCCCCCGAUUCAUUGUUCUGCAUUUACCAGGGGUGACUGCCCAUGAAACUUAAACUACUGUGGCUCAGCUUCCUCCUUCCAUUUGAAAUACAUGAGUAUUUGUCACAUUCAAAAGUUGUUGCAAAACCAAGUGACACCUGUAGAUGGCGCUGUGACUCUUUCCAGAACCAUGUCAUAUUGAAUUUGGAGGAAUGGUGGACCAGCAGUUGCCAAAUCUGGAUGGAUCGCCUCUAAUCACCUGAUCAGAAGUAACUGAUGAGCUCAGGAUUGGUUGCCGGGUCUACAAGACAACUUCAGAUAAAGGAUGAUUUCCACUAGAUAUCAAAUUAACAUGGAUUAUGUGUCCUGUCCACGGAAGGAUCCUUUGAAGUGUCACCAAAUACAAAGCAAAUGUGAUGGAUCUGUGAAGUUAAAACAAUGGUGAGAACUCCCAGUGGGUGAAAGUAAAGAGGAGAAAUGGCAGCUCAGAAUGGGAGAAAGUAGCCAUGGAGAUGCAGGAAGUUCUUUUGCUGUGGUUGCUUUUUGUUCCACAUUUUUUUGUUGCUAUAAAUCAGAAAAAGGGGUAGCAGAAUUCAGCCAGGUUGUGGAUUAUAGCAAAAUGAUGCUCCAUUCAGCUAGGGUGGGAGCAGGAAACAAGUAGGGGCAAAGGUCCUCUCCAUUCUUCUCUAUAGAGUGAAGAUAUGCACAGGUUAUAAAACUGUACUGCCAGGGAGGUGCUGCGAAGGCCCUUCUGAGUUGAACUAGGUCUUUCAAAAUUUACAUAUGGAAGUCAUGUCCUCUAAUAUCUUGGAAUGUGGCCUUUUUUGGAAAUGGGAUCAUUGCAGAUGUAAUUCAUUGAGGUUGCUGGAUAAAGGUAGCCCCCCACCCAAUAUGAUCUGUGCCCUUAUUAACAGAGGAAAUCUGGACAGAGACACACAGACAGAGUGUGCGGAGAUGAAGGUGGAAAUGAAAGCAAUCUUCUACAAGCCAAGGAAUGGUACAUAUUGCAGCAAAGCACCAGCAGCCAGGCGAGAGGAAUGGAAUGAUCUUCCUCACAGCUCUUGGAGGGAACCUACUCUCCUGACACCUUCACCUCCAGGACUACAGUACAGUACUUGUUUAAGUCACUCACCUUGUUUUAUCUUGUAAAAAAAAAAAAGCAGCUAUAAUGAAGGCGGACGUUGCCUGGUAGAAGUGGCAAAUGGAAGACAUAGGAAAAAUGUAAAAGUGAGCAGAAGUUCAGUGUGCUGGGGCACAGUCCUCUCUUCAACUUACAGGAGGGCAAUGCCGGGUGGAGUUUUUCCUCUCCUGGCCCACAUUACCUGGGGAAACAAUUCCUAUUUCCAGAGGGAGAAAUAUGAGGCAUCUGACAGCUCUACCAAUAGUAAAAAACAACAAACAAGAAACAAAAAUCAAAAAC